rfam:Schistosoma curassoni strain Dakar, Senegal genome assembly, scaffold: SCTD_scaffold0006967
GCACUGCUGAAGAGUCCCACAAUAGGACAAAACUGCCGUCCAGUAC